UACGGAGGGUGCAAGCGUUGUUCGGAAUCACUGGGCGUAAAGCGCGUGUAGGCGGUCUAUUAAGUCUGGUGUGAAAGCCCGGGGCUCAACCCCGGAAGUGCAUUGGAUACUGAUAGACUAGAGGACGGGAGAGGAGAGUGGAAUUCCUGGUGUAGGGGUGAAAUCCGUAGAUAUCAGGAGGAACAUCAGUGGCGAAGGCGGCUCUCUGGCCCGUUUCUGACGCUCAGACGCGAAAGCGUGGGUAGCAAACAGG
rnacentral:rRNA from 1 species